rnacentral:rRNA from 1 species
AAUCAACGCUGGCGGCGUGCCUAACACAUGCAAGUCGCGCGCGAAAGGGGGGCAACUCCCAAGUAGAGCGGCGAACGGGUGAGUAACGCGUGGGUGAUCUACCUUCGAGUGGGGAACAACAGCGGGAAACUGCUGCUAAUACCGCAUGACAUCCUCAGGUCACACUGAGGAUCAAAGCCGGGGACCGCAAGGCCUGGCGCUUGAAGAUGAGCCCGCGUCCGAUUAGCUAGUAGGCGGGGUAACGGCCCACCUAGGCGACGAUCGGUAGCCGGCCUGAGAGGGCGGACGGCCACACUGGGACUGAGACACGGCCCAGACUCCUACGGGAGGCAGCAGUGGGGAAUAUUGCACAAUGGGCGGAAGCCUGAUGCAGCGACGCCGCGUGGGGGAUGACGGCCUUCGGGUUGUAAACUCCUUUCACCAUCGACGAAGGUUUUCUGACGGUAGAUGGAGAAGAAGCACCGGCUAACUACGUGCCAGCCGCCGCAGUAAAAC